CUAAAUGUUGCUGUUAGCCGCCCUGUCGGUGGAAUCGGAGCAGCCACAGCUGUCGUUGUGGAGGAGAUGAAGCAGGAAGCUGGAGGAGCGGUUCCGAUGUGCGUCUCUCCUCCAGCAAUGGCUUCCUCUCCUUCGGCACGGCGGAACUAUUGCGAUGGCGAUUCAGUCGAGGCGCUGGUCCCAUACGAGGGCUGUUCCAGCAACUUGCGUCGACCGUGCAACGGGCGGUUGCAAGUUCGUGCGUGUGCACGACCUCGGUCAACUCGAUGGUCAGCCCCGUGGACUGGAACCGCCCCACUUCCCCCCACUUUCGGUGGUUAAAUUCCUUCCGCGGCUACAGAAAGGCCAGAACUCGGAAAACAAGCGAAGUUAGAGGGGUUUCGGUGAGCUACAGUUGGUGGUGGCAAAGCCAUUGGUUGCUGCCUGAAGGUAGCAUGAAUCGUUAGAAUAUUUGUGUCUCCGUUUCAACACACUGUCACUCAGCUAGUUAUUAGCUGAAUCGAGACUUGAGAGGGCGAGCAGUGCAAAACCGUGGGACGCGAGCCGGCGGCAAAAUCUUUUAUGUCGGCCGGAGGAAGGGACGAGCGCGAGGGAGUAGAGCCAUGUGGCUGCGGUCGGGGGGGGCGAGCCGCACCGCCGCGGAGGUGAGGAGACAUAUGACAAUGGAGGAGGGCCAGCGCCGCCGGAGGCGAGGAGGAGGGCCACGCCGUCGAUCCGCUGCGCCGCUGAGCCGUCGCGGAGAUGAGGAGGAAGACAACGACCAUGGAGGAGGGCCAGCACCGCCGGAGGAGAAGGCGGAGGGCCAGAGUCCCGAUAAUUUCGAGCGCUGCUCGAUUUCACGAGGUAACACCCUGAUUUAUUGUGGUGUGAUAUGAUUUUCAGAUUCCAGUGCUGUGAUCUGCAAUCGAAUGUUGUGCUGUGCUAUCCAAUUUGACAGAAAUUGAUGAUGAUGCGCAGAUUAUUAUUUUUCUAGCAUCUACAAGUAGUAUUUUGGUCAGAGAUAACUAUAACAUUUUGGACAGGAUUUUUGGGGCUAACAAUAGUAUUUUGUGGGCUAAAUGUGAAAGUGAAAUUGCAUGUAUGUUUGUACUUGAAUGAAUGUACAGUAGUAGCACUUGUUGCUACAGAAUUUAUAUGUUAUAAGUGCUUUGAAUUUCAAGCACAAGUAGUAAAUAAUUGUUCAGUUAUGUGAUCCG